rnacentral:rRNA from 1 species
GGCCUACCAUGGUGGUAACGGGUAACGGGGUGUUAGGGCACGACACCGGAGAGGGAGCCUGAGAAACGGCUACCACAUCCAAGGAUGGCAGCAGGCGCGCAAAUUACCCAAUCCCGACACGGGGAGGUAGUGACAAUAAAUAACAAUACGGGGUUCUUUCGGAUCUCGUAAUUGGAAUGAGUACAAUUUAAAUCUCUUAACGAGGAACAAUUGGAGGGCAAGUCUGGUGCCAGCAGCCGCGGUAAUUCCAGCUCCAAUAGCGUAUAUUAAAGUUGUUGCAGUUAAAAAGCUCGUAGUUGAAUUUCGGGGUCAGUAGGUUGGUCGUGCCACAGGUAUGAACUGGUCUCACUGAUUCCUCCUUCCUGAUGAACCGUAAUGCCAUUAAUUUGGUGUUGCGGGGAGACUGGACUGUUACUUUGAAAAAAUUAGAGUGUUUAAAGCAGGCUAACGCUUGAAUACAUUAGCAUGGAAUAAUGAAAUAGGACGUUCGGUCUUAUUUUGUUGGUUUCUAAGAUUGACGUAAUGAUUAAUAGGGAUAGUUGGGGGCAUUAGUAUUCAAUUGUCAGAGGUGAAAUUCUUGGAUUUAUUGAAGACUAACUACUGCGAAAGCAUUUGCCAAGGAUGUUUUCAUUAAUCAAGAACGAAAGUUAGGGGAUCGAAGACGAUCAGAUACCGUCGUAGUCUUAACCAUAAACUAUGCCGACUAGGGAUCGGAUGAUGUUAAUUUUUUAAUGACUCAUUCGGCGCCUUACGGGAAACCAAAGUGUUUGGGUU